GGGGUGGGGAGUGGCUGGGAGAGAGAGCGAAGACCGAACCCUUCCCUGCGCGAAGAGGUUGGGCCCUGACUCUGCCGCUCUGUGAGAAGAGUUCAUUUUCUUCUGGUUGUGAGACAGACUUCAGGCACAUCACCCUGAUCCAGUUUCUGUGGGUUGGAAUCCAGAACCUCCUUGCUGGGUACCUCGGAUUUCAGGGAUCCUUCACAGACUGCGUCAGGACGGCGGAUGGGCAGCAGUGAUCUUGGGGCUUGAGGGGCACGGACAUGGUUGUUGGUAGACCUCCCUGGCAGGAGACUUCAGCUCCUUGGUUCUCGCGCUCAUGCUGUGUGAGGAACUCAGACUCAUCAACUCUCAAAAUAAGACGCCACCUGGGGCACCUGCCAGACUGACAUCAGGGAGAAACAGAGGCUCAAGGUCGCCAGGAGAAUGUCAUAGGAAUUAGGAUGCCUGGGUUCAAUCACACUUUUCAGUUGUUAGUGUUCAGAGCUGGUACCUAAAUAAAGGACGGUGUCACAUACCUCUGAUUGGCCUCCGCCUGCCUGGGCAAGUUAGAGCUGGUCUGCCUCCCACACCAGGGUCCACAAGGUACCCAGGGAUAGGUGAGCACUUUUGAAAAGCAUCUAAGGGGUAAGCAUAUGCUAUUCCUGGAAAUCCACUGAUGGUGGAUCAAAGAUCAUCUUGAGAAUAAAGGCUGUAUCUAUUCACUUCUAGAUCU